UGGCCUCACAGCUCCCUAGUUCAACAAUUGCUAAGGAGCUUUUAUUAACAUCUCAAAUACCUCCUUUCCCUUCUCCCUUUCUCAGAGGGGGUAAGAAAUGCUUCAGAUUCUUGAGUUUAGAAGAGCUUGGGGGCAUUCUUCUUAGCGGAAGAUAAACUGAAAGGAGAACAGCAUCCCUCCUCAGCCCCUCUGUCACCCUGCACCUGUCAGGCUUAUGACUUGCCAGGUUUGGGUGAGGUACUGAUAAAGGAAGCAUACUUUAAAGAGACUGACAAAUCCAUCUAAAUGCUGUUUAAUUCAUCUUGAUAAGAAAGGGCUGUGGAGAGCUUUAUGCCACCUUUGCUUCUCUUUUCCUUCUGUAGUUCUCAGGCUGGGCCAUGUUUUCACAAAACCAAGAUUUCAGUAGCAGAGUGACUGUACUAUUUGAAAAACAGGACUAAGUUCAGAGAAUACAUAAAAGUGAUAGCAUUUAACUACUUCACAUUUUUUAUUCACUGUUUUAAUUGCUUUUCAGCAUCAGUCACCUUUAACAGACCCCUAAACAAAAGGCAUCUAAAUGGAUGUUCACUUCCCUCUUCCUCUCCCAGUAGGAAUUUAGUCUCCCAUUUUUUCCCCCCUCCUUACAAAAAACCAUGAGAGCCCCCCUACAUUCAGCUUGCUGCCUUUCCUGAGGUUACUGUGUGAGCUUUUUCUCCACUAAUGGUGCCUCUCAGCUUACCCCAUGUUCGCUGUUUGUUUUUGGGCUCAGCCUGCAAUAGUAAUCAAGGCCAAAUAUUUGCUCAAAUGAAGUGGCUCUGUGGUUCUCAUUCCAGGAAGCUGGCUGAGGACAAAGUGAAACUAGCUUGAAACACACUGGUAUGCCCAAGAGAUGCUAGGAGCAAGGGAUUUUUCCAGAGCUGUAGAAAGUCAUCCAGAUUCUCACUGUAGCUUUGUUGUGGGAACUGCAGGGGAACUAACUAAUUUAUAGCCUGCCCCAAUGAAAGACACCACUUUUAUCUGCCAGAAACCAAAGUCAGUCCAGUUAAAGCCAAACUUUAAGACGGUUCUGUUGGGCUGCAACCAGAAAGAAGACCCAGUGUGAAGUCACACAAGCAUUCAUUCUCCCUGUUCUGCAAGGCUAAAGCCCACAUUUUUCUGAUAAGAGGGGGCUAUAUCCUUUGUGCUUGCGAGUCAGUGGCAGGUCUUAUAAACACACCCACAGAUUCUCAGCCUAACAUAUUGCAAGCUCUGUGCAUCUGGAGCCAGUGCAUGCUUUGCUCAACAACCCCCCUUUCAUUUCUGCCAAGAUUCCCUCCCACAUUUGGGACUUUUUUCCUGCUCCCUUGAGAGCGUCCUCAAUUCUCCCAGCUCCUCCAGCCUCCCACUGUCAGAGUGGACUGUUCUGUACAGCUUUCCUGGUCUUCUCUGCCUUUGGGAACAUAUGGACCAGUGCAGGAAGCUGGGCACAAAAAUCUGUGCAUUACCCUUAUUCUCAGCCCUGUGUUUGGGUCAGGUGGAUGGACCAGAAGACUGAACUGACAGAGCUGACACAGAAAGCAGAAAAUCUCCAGGAUCUACUGGGGCAUUAGCUUUGUAGGAUGUGAGAAGUUACCAACAGAGAUACAUGACGUGCCAUCACUGUGGGAAGCCACCUUUUAGAUGAGGUGCAGACAAGCUCCAUUUAACACAGUCACCUUCUUUCCCAUUUAUCAGACCAUCAUUUCCUGGGAAUGUUCUGGAACAAGGAAAGCAAUUCACUGAGCAUCCUGUGUGUUUUCAUAACACACCACCAAUUCCUGUCAAAAAUCAAUAGCUCACUGAGGAGUAGCAGACUACUGAGCCACCCAGGCUAGCACCUGCUCUGCAAUAUUUCUCAGCUACCAAGAGACAGGAAAGCAUUAGAGGAAUCAAACCCACAGCACAGAGGUGCUCAGGGACUUAAGGACUCCUGAAAUUCCUCCAUGUGAGGUAGCAACUUGUUUUGGUCCGGGGUGUAAGGAGUUCCUGCAAGCAGUGCUGCCUUCUUGGACUGGUUCAAGGACAAAAAAAAAAAAGAUUUUCUGUGGAAUAGAAUAUUUGGACUUUGAGUUGCAAACACAAGCAUGACACAGAUCAUAAAACAUGAAAUAAGGUAGCUCUGCUCUCUUCUACACAGUGGGGCAAGGCAUUUAACCUGUUGUAAAUCCUGUCCACUCCCUCCUUGUCUUUUCUGUUUAUACAUGGAGUUAAAGCAUCCUUAAGCCUCUUACUACUCUACCACUCUCCUGAUUACAGCCACAUCUAACACUGAACUUGAAGCACACACCUGUACGAAUUCAUGAGAAAAAACUUUGCAUUACAUGGAAAAAAAAGAGUCAUAUGCAGAAAAGGAAAAAGGAAAGUGCCACCCUUCAAACUGAAGAAAGUUUUGGCCCAUGAGCUGCUGAAGAAGGAUGUGUGAAGAUAGAUGUGUGAACUGCAACCCCUCUCCUGCAGCACUUUGUAAAGCAAGUGAGCAGUCCCAGGCAGGAGGAGGCUUUCUGCAUUUUGAACAGGCCAAGGUGAGGAGUCGUGCAGGGCAGAGCACCCUGAGAAAUUGGACCUCGUGACUUGGACUUGCACAUCCAUGAGCAGAGACAUGGGAAAUGCUGCCUUUCUGGAGCUGAAGUGGGGAGGGGAGUGCUGGAAGCUGCAGACAGGAAGAGCCUGACUUGGGAAAAGCAAAGCAGGUAACAAUCAUACAACUAUUUAUGGCUCUUUUUCCUUGUGACAACUGCAGCCUUAUAAGGGCAAGAGCGCUUUACUCGGGGCAGAGCUGCGGAGGUGGAGCCUCCAGGGGCACUCCUGAUGCUUGCUCCCAGGCUAUCUGCCUGCACAAGCCGCUGACCUCCUUCCCGGGAAAAACCCUGGGAACCCUCGCUGAAUCCAGCUGUUCAAAUUUCAAAUUACAAAACGCCUCGGCUCCUCUCCCCUUUUCCCCAUACCUCCUACUAGCUGGAGCUGUGGUGAAGCAGAAAUGUCUGCGUUUGUAAUGUUGUGGGUAUCUGGGAGCAGUGGGUUGGAGAGCCCCCCGCAGCUGACGUGGGAAACCUAUUCCCAUCUGGUUGUGAUAGUACUGAGAACUGGAAGAAAAAAGAAAGGAAAAACAAACAACCCUCCUCUCGACCCCCCCUCUCCCCCAGUGUUGCUUGUCGGCCACUAGUGAGUGUGUGAAAGGCUGCAGCUGGCAAAUCUGGUGCACAAACUCUGUCGCAGAUCCUUCUGCCUAUGGUUGUGGUUUGGAGUCCCCCACUAACUCCGACUGAGCUUCCAGUGUGUGUAUGUUGGGUUCUUACACAUCUCAACCCUGUCCAAUCCACCCAGCUGAACUAUGCUGGAAAUGGGUUGCAAAUAAAACUAAACAUAAACAUGCUAAAAAUGUCACUGUCAUCAGAUAAGGUUGCUAUGUACAUAAAAUUCCUGACACGAGUUCAUUAGACCAAGGACAUGAAAAGUUAAGCCACAUGCAUAUAUUGGCUGGAAUGGGGAGGAGGGUAUGAUGAGCA